UUACUUACCUGGCAGGGGGAAUAUCACCAUCAAGAAGGUGGUUUCCCCAGGGUGAUGCUUUUCCAUUGCACACUUCAGUUGGAUGCACCACUAUCCAACCUGGCAGUCAGUCCUAACCCCACACUAUUACCCCAUCAUGAUUUUCUAUUUCUUUGUGUGUCUCUGCCCAGUC